rnacentral:rRNA from 1 species
AGGAGUGGAGCCUGCGGCUUAAUUUGACUCAACACGGGAAACCUCACCAGGCCCGGACACCGGAAGGAUUGACAGAUUGAGAGCUCUUUCUUGAUUCGGUGGGUGGUGGUGCAUGGCCGUUCUUAGUUGGUGGAGCGAUUUGUCUGGUUAAUUCCGAUAACGAACGAGACUCUAGCCUGCUAACUAGGCGUACUUUCCGGUAUCUCGAAGGCCAACGUCUCUCGGGGCUCCGUUCGGUGAGCAGUUUGCGCAUCGCUUCGGUGGUGUUGCGGCUGUGUGUCGUUCGGACCGGGAGUUCGUGGUUUUUACUACCGGCGUACAAUUGAAUCUUCUUAGAGGGACAGGCGGCUCCUAGCCGCACGAGAUUGAGCAAUAACAGGUCUGUGAUGCCCUUAGAUGUUCUGGGCCG